UUUUUUUUUUUUUUUUUACAGAGGUACAUAAAUGUGAUACCUUCAAUGUGGAAGAGAAAGAAGAAUUCUCAUUACAAACAUGCUUUUGAAUCUUUCCUAACUACUAAAAUUCACUCAUCCCUUUUGAAUGAAGUUCUGUAGAUUUGACUUUGCACAGUCAUAAAUACUGUUAUUUUGUUUAAAUGUUGUUAAUUUGGAACCAUUACAUUAAAAGAUAAUGUUGUCCUCUAGUUCCUCUGAAAAUAUUAUAAUUUGAUUUUAAAGAUAUUUUAAAGGACAGAUAUCAUAUCA
rnacentral:lncRNA from 1 species